UACGAACUGUGCGAAUGUUAUUCGGAAUCACUGGGCUUACAGGGUGCGUAGGCGGCUAUUCAGGUCAGGUGUGAAAGCCCCCGGCUCAACCGGGGAACUGCGCUUGAAACCGAGUGGCUCGAGUCAGCUAGAGGUACACGGAACUUCCAGUGGAGCGGUGAAAUGUGUUGAUAUUGGAAGGAACACCGGAGGCGAAAGCGGUGUACUGGGGCUGGUCUGACGCUGAGGCACGAAAGCCAGGGGAGCGAACGGG
rnacentral:rRNA from 1 species